AUGUUAGUUGUCAGGGAGCGAUGCCCCCUCCUGAGACAUGUAAUGAAACUAGAUAGCCAGGGGCCUCGGGGAAAAAAAUGGGCUCUGUGUUUGGAGAUGUCAUUUGAUUACAAUGCUCUCGCCUUUUGCCGGGAGCAGCCUGUGUCUGGGCAUGGCAGGGAGCAAGGAGAGCAGGAGAGCAUGCGGGGAUGGAUGGAGAGAUGCAGGCAGGGAGCUGCGGUGCCCCAGCCCGGCCCGGCCGGGGACACCGAGCCGGCCGAGCCCGUUGUCCUGCAGGGGCCACCGGCCGGGCACGAAGCACAGAACUGUCCGGACUGUCCCCGGCACUCGGCGGACUGCGGGGCUCUCCCGUUCCCCGGCCCCGGGCACGGUUCUCCGGGCGCCGGGAAGCUGCACGGGGCCCUCAGGGCCGGCCCGGGCCGCGUCACCCUCCCAGGGGUGUCACCCUCCCAGGGGUGUCACCCUCCCAGGGGUGUCACCUUCCCAGCGUGUCACCCUCCCAGGGGUGUCACCCUCCCAGCGGGUCACCCUCCCAUGGGUGUCACCUUCCCAGCGUGUCACCCUCCCAGGGGUGUCACCCUCCCAGGGGUGUCACCUUCCCAGCGGGUCACCCUCCCAGGGUUGUCACCUUCCCAGCGUGUCACCUUCCCAGCGGGUCACCCUCCCAGGGUUGUCACCUUCCCAGCUGUCACCCUCCCAGGCCCAGCCCUGCCUCCGAGCCAGCCGAGCCCCGGGCACGCCAUUCCAGCGCGGGGCCCUCAGGCCGGGUCACCCUCCCGGGGCCGGCCCAGGCCUCGGUGGCACCCGCGAGUCCUGGGGAACCGAGCGGGCUCAUCCCGGGACAAGGAUGCUCCCACCAGCAGCACCUGCUCCGAAGCACUGCCGGGAUAUUCCACAUUCCACACGUUCUGGAUCACGUUCAGCACUAGUCGGGCUGGAUGGGAACAAAAAGCGCUACAAACUCUGCUUCAGAGGAAAUGUGUUCAUUGCCCUGAAGAAUGUGGGAAAACAUGCAGCCCUCUGAAGAUUCCCUUGUGCAGCUCUGGGACUGGUCUGGCUGGAUUUUCUGUUGCUUACUUUAUAAAUACAUGAAAGUAGAACUGAAGCUUUACUAACACCAUGAGAGUUCUUGCCAGCUUCAGAGGAGAAACUGCUGGAACCCGUACAAACCAGCUAAGAAGUGAAAACCUCUGUUCAGCCUAACAUACAGAUCAUACUCAGACACAAAGUGGGUGUUAGUGUUCAGCAAGUGACCAGCAAAGGUCAGUGUUUGGGAUGCCUGCUGCUAGAACAGGAAAGGCCACGCACCUCAUUGGAGGCAACUGAAGAGAACCAAGCUUCCCUGAAGGAAUCACCCCUCAGGUGGAUGUGGGAUGUGGAGGACACUCAGGGAAAGUUUUAGUGGUUUUGCAUGUGUUUAAAGUUGUCAUAAUCACUGCUGUCAAGAGCUGCUGCAUCAACCAUCAAAAAUAGUAGUAAUAACAAAAGUUUCCAUGGGAUGGAUGGGGUUCACAUCAAGAGCUUGUAUUGCUGGAGUUGUAUCACUCCUGUGUCAUGAAUGUAAUCCUGUUAAGAAAAGUGGCCUCAGACCCCAGAGGCAGCUGUGUGGUGGCCCUUGGCACAAAGCACGUGGUACCAACUCCAGCUCAGUCUCUGGUGUGUCACUGAACUGCUGCCAGCACAAGGCUCUGGCCCACAGCCAGCUCUGGUGCUUUCCUCAUUCUCUCAGGGACUUUGGCUCCUUGCAGUGGAUGGUGUGCUCUUUAAAACCCCAUCCAGGAGAUGAGGUGUGACCUUGAACCCCCAGGUCCUGUUGGUACAGACAGGGAGCAGGAAAGAGCAGAUGUGUGGAGAGGGCCCACAGCGGGCUGAGGGUCAGACGGAAGAGUUGACAGAAAGAAGAAGCCAGCAGGAUUCCUGUGUGUCUGUGAGAAGAAGAGAAAGAAGAUAAAGGUAGAGGAAAACAAAGAACAUCUGUGCUGUGAAAAACACCAUGGAAAAACAAGAUCUAUCUGUAUUUUGGAUUUUUGGGGAUAGUUUCUCAAAACAGUGCUUCCACCAAUGGACUUGAGGGGUGGUGUGGUGGUGGCCGAUGAGAUGGGGUGCACUAUGGGGUCGGAAGGGGAUAAAAAUGCUGUGUACAGGCACAAUAAAGGCUUGGACAAAGUUUCUUAUGGAU
rnacentral:lncRNA from 1 species